rnacentral:rRNA from 1 species
AAUCUUAUUCUAUUUAUAUUAACAAACAAACAAUCAAAAGUGAAGAAUAAUAAUUUCACCAACCACCCCAGUUAAAAAAUAAUUAAUUUCAUCAAUUAAACAAAUUAACUAAAUUUUAAGAUUUUAGGGUCUUCUCGUCCUCUUAAAAAAUUUCAACUUUUUCACUAAAAAAUAAAAUUCAACCUCUCAUAAAACUGAGACAACCUUAUCUUCAUUUAUUCAUUCAUACAAUUUUACAAUCAAUAAACUAAUUAUUAUGCUACCUUUGCAA